UUUAAGGGCUGACUGCCAUUUGGGAAGGGUCUCUUUCUGGAGAUCCUUUCUUUUGGAAUUUUCUACUGCGAGCCUAGGACAUGAUAAAAGAGUACUGAGGUGUCUAGAUGAUCACUCGGUCCUGGAAAUUUGACAUAUGAAGACAAUGCCAGGAUGAAGAUUUCUAUUUUGGACACAAGGAUCUCUCCUCCUGUGGGAUUCUCAAGCAAAGACCACUGCCUGUUGUACCACCUGCUGGAUGGAGCUGCUCUAGGGCAUCAUAUACAAAAGUUUCCUUUUCUGCAGUUCUACUUUAAGUCUGGUGUAGUGUAUAUAUACACACCUUAUGUGUUCCCACAAGGCAGCAAAAUUAUGUGUGUAAUUAUGGGUAAGCAACAUUUUACUUUAUGCAAAGACGAUUAGCCAGGUUGUUCCAGGAAGCAAUCUUUGUAGCCCAGGUGUGGCACAUGAAUAAAUUUUGCCCAAAUCCCAGGCAUGUGAUGUUUCCUGCAUUCAUGCAAGAUAUCCUGCAUUUCUUUCACUGGAAUGCUGAGUCACAUCUUCAGACAUCACUGUCACCAACCAAUGUAAAAAUAGCCUGAAAAAAUAGCUGAAGAUUACACAACGCAGCUGUUUCCCUAUACCAGAUGUUACAGAUCUACAAAAUGUCUGAAUUUCCCAAUUUUGAAUCCAAAUUUCAUCCCUGGAAAUGCUUCAGGAGUUGUACGUUUUACUGUGAUAGAGAGAAGCAUGGUGACAAGACUGAGUCAUUUGUAAGGUCAGCUUUGAGUUCACCCUUGAGUUGUGAUUCUGUUAAAAUAACAAGCAAAGAUUUUGGAGUUGAUCACUCUGUUACGUUUUUGUUUUAGUUGUAAAUAAUGUGGCAUUUUUUACUUGACUGUUCAAAGUUUGUUCUUCCCAGAUGAACAUGCCUCCAAGAAUGGGUAUUGCCUUUGAGGUAGAUUUUUUUUUUAAUUGUCAUUGGCUGAGUUCUUGAUUACUGAAAUCAAGAAUGGCUCAGAGUCUUUUUGCCUUAUCUAAGAAGUGCAAGGCGGAACACUUGGUAAAUGUUUAUGUGGGUUGUUUUUUGUUUUUUUUUUUUUUUUGGCCUAUCUCUAUUGCAGGGCAGGGAGGGGUUUGUUUGCCUCAUCAUCCUGUGAUCUGAGGGUUUGUUUUGCAAAGGAGAACAUGGGGAUGGUUUCCUUGGGCUCUGAAGCCUGAGGCAGUGAGUGCUGGGAAACGUAAUUGGGGCCCAUUCUUAAUAUUUGUUGAAAGGCUUUUCUUUUUCUUACUAUAAGCAAAGACAGACAAGUGGCA